UGGUGAGCAUUCUAAUAAAAGUAAAGAGAUAGUACCCGAGGAUCAAGAAUCGAAGUACUCAGAAUUCGAUUUCCAUUACAGUGAGUAACCUUACUAUCGUCUUAAUUAUCUAAAGUGGUUUUAUUCAAUUUUGUGAUUUUAUGGAAAAUGAGUUUAAAUGGUAAAUCUUUAUGUUUUAUAAGCAAAAUGAGAUUAAAUGAAAAUGAUUUUAUAAAAUUAUCUUCAGAUUGAAUGAUGGUUUUGAAAAUAGAGUAAUUGGAGAUUGUUUUCAUGUGUUGUAAAUUCAUGGUUUGAAUCGAAUGGCUUAUGACAAUAUUUGCAUGAAUGGCUGAAUUGGUAAAUGUGCUGAAAAUAUAUGAACUGUGUAUUUAGCCUUGAGAGAUUGGAUUAUGAUAUAAUUGGCAUGUCAUGCAGUUGAGAUUUUAUUGAAUUGGUGGGUUUAGCUUGCUGUAGUGGGCGGGUUCCGUGGACCAGCCUAUUAAAGGGGGACGGUAACCCUAUUAUAUUCUUACCUCAGUCGGAGAGGCGUGUAGGGUAACUCCCGCAGUACACUUUUAGAGUUCACUUCACGCCAAACCACCACGUGAGGGUGAACUCAGCUAAUGUCAAGGAACGACUAUGUUUUCAAAAUAAAAAUAUGUUUAUGUGUAUAUGAAAUUUUUAACAGCCUUGGCGAACUUAGUUGGGAUAGCCCCAGGCCAAGGUAUCCCUGAUAAUUGAGUACAAGAAUGAUUUUGGCACGAGCCAAAGUUUUAAGAAAUUCAUAAGCCAUGUUGUUUACUUGAUUUAUAUGAAUUGAUUUUAUUUGGUUGAAAUGAGUUGAAAUGUGAUGAAUUACAAUAUGAUGAUCUAUUUUAAUCUGUCUCUAUUUACUCAGCUUUAGAUAUUUUAGAUGGUAUUUGUUUACUCACUGGGAUUAUAUAAUCUCACCACCCUCAUUUUCACCCAUUUCAGGCUCAAGAUAGUCUGUAGAUAGCUCACUUUGUUGAGGGCUACAGUUGGACUUGCAUCCUCAAAAACUGUAGGUUUACCGCUUUUGAUACUUUUGAUCCUUCAUGGGACCACGUGUCACUGUAAAUUAAAUCUUAUGCUUUGGUUAUCUGUAUUAUAGUAUGUUUGAAUUUAUUUAGCUUUUACGCUACAAAAAUUAUUUACUGG
rnacentral:lncRNA from 1 species